GGCGGGCAUUCGCUGGAGAGAUUUCUCUCUAGAGGAAAGUCCGGGCACCGCAGAGCAAAGCCCCGGUUGAAAAACCGGAAUGCGGGGGGCAAACCCCCGUGUAUGAACAGUGCCGCAGAAAACAAACCGCCUACGGGCAAGGGUGAAAAGGCGGGGUAAGAGCCCACCGCCGCGAGAGCAAUCGAGCGGGCAUGGAAAACUCGGCUUGGUGCAAGACAAUGUAUGACGUCUCGGGCUGCUCGUCCUUAUGGCGUCGGGUGUGUCGCGCCCCCGAAAGGGGGGAUCCCUUCGGGAAUCAGAUAAAUGAAUGCCGCUUUGCGCGGGCAUAUGCCCGCGCAAAGCACAGAACCCGGCUUACAGCCG
rnacentral:RNase_P_RNA from 1 species